rnacentral:lncRNA from 1 species
CACUCAUCAUCAAACUCCUCUGGGCAGAACAGCAAAACUAAUGCUGGGAUAAGCGAAUCUGCUUCCUCCGCCUAUGAGUUCCUGAAGGACACAGGUAGGAUGGAGGCAUCCUCACUUCCUCCCUACCUCCAAAAUCAAGGUACCUGUUAAAAAUGAACAAGACCAGCUCUGACUUGGAAAAAGUGAGCCAGAGCUCUACAGAAAGUAGAGCCCAGCCUUCAAAAGGGCUCACAUCAGCUUCACCACAGGCCCCACUGUCAGCUAGCUAUGGACUCCAGGACCUGCAGCAAUGGAGGUCCAUACAUGAACUCACCAACUUACCCACAAAUCAACAGGAAAAACUCUUCGCUCCCUCCUUUCCCAUCAGGCUCCAUAAAGAAUGUAUCCCCCAGUGGUCCUGCGUAGCCUCCUCCUCUGCCCCAGUAAAAGAUAGUGAGCUGUGCGGCCUCUUCCCCUGAUGGCUUCUUCAGGACCCAUGGUUCCCCUAAGCCAUGGACAGCAAGUCCCAGGCUGAACCUACGCCACUCAGAAACCAGUGUUUGUGCCCAUGGCAAGCCUCCUUUUAGCUUCCCACCAUGUCUUCUCUUCUGAGCCUUUGGAGAAAGCUUUCAAAGUCGGUGCCUCCUAGGCUCUAGAUCUGGGGCUGGCAAGCAGCAGAAGCGGCUGUGGGAGCCCCAGUCUCCAGUGCAGAGCGCCACCUCCAUGUUGUCUUUCCAGCUCAGAGCAUCAGCCAGGCCUCCAAUGGCAGCACCCAGCGUCAGCUGCACAAUCUGUUGAGUAACAUCAGCAGCAAAGAGGGCACUUAUGCCAAGCUUGGGGGCCUCUAUACACAGUGCCUGGGGGUCUCUACACACAGUCCCUGGGGGCCUUUACACACAGUCCUUGGCCCACCUAGUGACCAAGUGUGAAGACCUCUUCAUGGGUGGCCAGAAAAAGGAACUGAGCUUCAAGGAGAAGAAGUGAUCACUCUUCAAGCUGACAUGCAGUGAGCCUUGUUGUGACUUGGGGAAUCCAAUUUGGUACUACACCACCUACUCUGAGACCACUGCCAAUACUUUGGCUAUGAAAAUCUGCAAAACCCUAGAACCCAAAUCAAUCUUGUACUGCAGCUGGUCUGUGGUGUGCGCCCAUGCAUUCCAAACAUCCGGCAAGGCAGAAGGUAUGUUGUGGCCUCUGUGGCCUCCAGAGUGCUUACCAGCCCUGACAUAUCCAGCCAGGGCCUUGUGCUGCUGCACCCGCUGCCGAGGAGUGUGACAGAUGGUGUGGUGCUCAUCACCUGGGAGGUGCCUCACCAGCCAGCCUCCAACUGUUCGGGAAUCUAUGCUAGGCCUCCGGCAGAGCCUGAGGUUUAUGAGCACCGGCUGUGCUUCCUGCUUCUGCAGCUCUGCAGCUAACCUGAGAACCUGAAGGCACACGGGAUCCCACACCAGGACCUGUGUCUGGAGAACCUGCUCCUGAAGCACUGCAAACCCCAGGGCUUCCCCUG